UCCCUGGUGGUCCUAUGGUUAGGACUUGGUGCUUUCACUGCUGCAGUCUGGGUUCAAUUCCUGGUCAGGAAA
rnacentral:tRNA from 1 species